GCGACUGCCUGGGCUGACACUGACGCUGAGGUGCGAAAGCGUGGGUAGCAAACAGGAUUAGAUACCCCUGGUAGUCCACGCUGUAAACGUUGAGAAACUAGUCGUUGGGGCUAUUAGAGCCUUAGUGACGCAGCUAACGCGAUAAGUUCUCCGCCUGGGGAGUACGGCCGCAAGGUUAAAACUCAAAUGAAUUGACGGGGGCCCCGCACAAGCGGUGGAGCAUGUGGUUUAAUUCGACGCAACGCGAAGAACCUUACCUGGUCUUGACAUCCUGCGAACUUGAUAAGAAAAAGCUUGGUGCCUUCGGGAGCGCAGUGACAGGUGCUGCAUGGCCGUCGUCAGCUCGUGUCGUGAGAUGUUGGGUUAAGUCCCGUAACGAGCGCAACCCUUGUCCUCAGUUACCAGCACUUCGGGUGGGCACUCUGGGGAGACUGCCGGUGACAAACCGGAGGAAGGUGGGGAUGACGUCAGGUCAUCAUGGCCCUUACGGCCAGGGCUACACACGUGCUACAAUGGGGCGUACAGAGGGCAGCAAGUGCGCGAGCGCAAGCGAAUCCCUUAAAGCGUCUCUCAGUCCGGAUCGGAGUCUGCAACUCGACUCCGUGAAGUCGGAAUCGCUAGUUAUUGCGAAUCAGAAUGCUGCGGUGAAUACGUUCCCGGUCCUU
rnacentral:rRNA from 1 species